rnacentral:rRNA from 1 species
AAAAUGACUCUCGGCAACGGAUAUCUCGGCUCUUGCAUCGAUGAAGAACGUAGCGAAAUGCGAUACUUGGUGUGAAUUGCAGAAUCCCGUGAACCAUCGAGUCUUUGAACGCAAGUUGCGCCCGAAGCCAUUAGGCCGAGGGCACGCCUGCCUGGGUGUCACACAUCGUUGCC